GCAGUCGAGCGGGGGAGGUAGCUUGCUACCGGACCUAGCGGCGGAUGGGUGAGUAAUGCUUAGGAAUCUGCCUAUUAGUGGGGGACAACAUCUCGAAAGAGAUGCUAAUACCGCAUACGUCCUACGGGAGAAAGCAGGGGAUCUUCGGACCUUGCGCUUAUAGAUGAGCCUAAGUCGGAUUAGCUAGUUGGUGGGGUAAAGACCUACCAAGGCGACGAUCUGUAGCGGGUCUGAGAGGAUGAUCCGCCACACUGGGACUGAGACACGGCCCAGACUCCUACGGGAGGCAGCAGUGGGGAAUAUUGGACAAUGGGGGGAACCCUGAUCCAGCCAUGCCGCGUGUGUGAAGAAGGCCUUAUGGUUGUAAAGCACUUUAAGCGAGGAGGAGGCUACUUUAGUUAAUACCUAGAGAUAGUGGACGUUACUCGCAGAAUAAGCACCGGCUAACUCUGUGCCAGCAGCCGCGGUAAUACAGAGGGUGCGAGCGUUAAUCGGAUUUACUGGGCGUAAAGCGUGCGUAGGCGGCUUAUUAAGUCGGAUGUGAAAUCCCCGAGCUUAACUUGGGAAUUGCAUUCGAUACUGGUGAGCUAGAGUAUGGGAGAGGAUGGUAGAAUUCCAGGUGUAGCGGUGAAAUGCGUAGAGAUCUGGAGGAAUACCGAUGGCGAAGGCAGCCAUCUGGCCUAAUACUGACGCUGAGGUA
rnacentral:rRNA from 1 species